UGAGUCCUACGGGGGGCAGCAGUGAGGAAUAUUGGUCAAUGGGCGCGAGCCUGAACCAGCCAAGUCGCGUGAGGGAAGACGGUCCUAUGGAUUGUAAACCUCUUUUGUCGGGGAGCAAAAGACGCCACGCGUGGCGUUCCGAGAGUACCCGAAGAAAAAGCAUCGGCUAACUCCGUGCCAGCAGCCGCGGUAAUACGGAGGAUGCGAGCGUUAUCCGGAUUUAUUGGGUUUAAAGGGAGCGUAGAUGGGUUGUUAAGUCAGUUGUGAAAGUUUGCGGCUCAACCGUAAAAUUGCAAUUGAUACUG
rnacentral:rRNA from 1 species